AUGGCUGCUGAAGAGUAAGAAGAUUUCUGGUGUUCAGGCUGCAGAAAGUGUACCCAGUGUGGAGGAGAGGCCCCUCCCACGAGGAGCAGAUUUUGUUUCUGGGCUUUUGAUUGGAAAUGGAGAAGGAGCGGAAUCACAUGACUGAAAGGUUAUUACAACUCACCCUGGAGAUCGUCUACCUGCUGACCGGAGAGGAUUACGGACCAGUAAUAAAGAGGUUUGAUGAUCCUCCAUCACCCUCUCGGAUAUAUGAAAGAACCAACGA